rnacentral:tRNA from 1 species
GGGAAUAUGACUUAGUGGUGGUAGAGUGCUUGCCUUGCAUGCAUGAAACCCUGGGUUCGAUUCCUCAGUACCA